rnacentral:rRNA from 1 species
AACGUACGCUGGCGGCAGGCCUAACACAUGCAAGUCGAGCGAGGACUUCAGUCCUAGCGGCGGACGGGUGAGUAACGCGUGGGAACGUGCCCUUUGCUUCGGAAUAGCCCUGGGAAACUGGGAGUAAUACCGGAUGAGCCCUUUGGGGGAAAGAUUUAUCGGCGAAGGAUCGGCCCGCGUUGGAUUAGGUAGUUGGUGGGGUAAUGGCCUACCAAGCCGACGAUCCAUAGCUGGUUUGAGAGGAUGAUCAGCCACACUGGGACUGAGACACGGCCCAGACUCCUACGGGAGGCAGCAGUGGGGAAUCUUAGACAAUGGGGGAAACCCUGAUCUAGCCAUGCCGCGUGAGCGAUGAAGGCCUUAGGGUUGUAAAGCUCUUUCAGCUGGGAAGAUAAUGACGGUACCAGCAGAAGAAGCCCCGGCUAACUCCGUG